GGGGAUAUAGCUCAAUUGGUAGAGUACUUGCCUUGCAUGCACAAGGCCCUGGGUUCAAUCCCCAGCACCACCA
rnacentral:tRNA from 1 species